GCCCGAGUGAUGAAAUGGCAAACAUGCGCGACUCAAAAUCGCGUGCCGCAAGGCUUGAGAGUUCGAGUCUCUCCUCGGGCACCA
rnacentral:tRNA from 1 species